UAGGGUUUGAUCCUGGCUCAGAAUGAACGCUGGCGGUAGGCUUAACACAUGCAAGUCGAACGGAAACGAUAAAGAGCUUGCUCUUUAGGCGUCGAGUGGCGGACGGGUGGGUAACGCGUGGGAAUCUACCCUAUAGUUGGGGACAACAUAUGGAAACGUAUGCUAAUACCGAAUAUGCUCUACGGAGUAAAGGAGCCCUCUUCUUGAAAGGUUUCGCUAUAGGAUGAGCCCGCGUUAGAUUAGCUAGUUGGUAAGGUAAAGGCUUACCAAGGCGACGAUCUAUAGCUGGUUUGAGAGGAUGAUCAGCCACACUGGGACUGAGACACGGCCCAGACUCCUACGGGAGGCAGCAGUGGGGAAUAUUGCACAAUGGACGAAAGUCUGAUGCAGCCAUACCGCGUGUGUGAAGAAGGCCCGAGGGUUGUAAAGCACUUUCAAUUGGGAGGAAGAUUAAGUAGUUAAUACCUACUUAGUUUGACGUUACCUUUAGAAGAAGCACCGGCUAACUCUGUGCCAGCAGCCGCGGU
rnacentral:rRNA from 1 species